rnacentral:rRNA from 1 species
GACAGAGGGUGCAAACGUUGCUCGGAAUUACUGGGCGUAAAGGGCGUGUAGGCGGGGAAGGCAAGUCGGGCGUGAAAGCCCCAGGCUCAACCUGGGAACUGCACUCGAAACUGCCUUUCUUGAGUGCCGGAGAGGAAAGCGGAAUUCCUGGUGUAGAGGUGAAAUUCGUAGAUAAUCAGGAGGAACACCAGUGGCGAAGGCGGCU